AUUGAAUGCUGGCGGCAUGCCUAACACAUGCAGGUCGAACGGCAGCACAGUGCUGGGUAACCAGCAUGGGUGGCGAGUGGCGGACGGGUGAGUAAUACGUAAGAAUCUUCCUUUUAGAGGGGGAUAACCCGGGGAAACCCGGGCUAAUACUACAUGAUCUCGCAAGAGCCAACGGAGGGGAUCCAGCAAUGGACCUUUCGCUGAGAGAUGAGCUUACGUCGGAUUAGCUAGUUGGUAGGGUAAUGGCCUACCAAGGCAACGAUCCGUAGCUGGUCUGAGAGGACGGCCAGCCACACUGGGACUGAGACACGGCCCAGACUCCUACGGGAGGCAGCAGUGGGGAAUAUUGGACAAUGGGGGCAACCCUGAUCCAGCGAUGCCGCGUGUGUGAAGAAGGCCUGCGGGUUGUAAAGCACUUUAGGUGGGGAAGAAAGGUAAAUACCUAAUACGUAUUUACAUUGACGUUACCCACAGAAUAAGCACCGGCUAACUCUGUGCCAGCAGCCGCCGCAG
rnacentral:rRNA from 1 species